rnacentral:rRNA from 1 species
GACGAACGCUGGCGGCGUGCUUAACACAUGCAAGUCGAGCGGUAAGGCCCUUUCGGGGGUACACGAGCGGCGAACGGGUGAGUAACACGUGGGUGACCUGCCCUCAGCUCUGGGAUAAGCCUGGGAAACCGGGUCUAAUACUGGAUAUGACUCCAUGACGCAUGUUGUGGGGUGGAAAGCCUUGUGCGGCUGGAGAUGGGCCCNCGGCCUAUCAGCUUGUUGGUGGGGUGANGGCCUACCAAGGCGACGACGGGUAGCCGGCCUGAGAGGGCGACCGGCCACACUGGGACUGAGACACGGCCCAGACUCCUACGGGAGGCAGCAGUGGGGAAUCUUGCGCAAUGGGCGAAAGCCUGACGCAGCGACGCCGCGUGA